UGGUGAUGCUUCACUUCUGCAGAGCUGCUGCAGGGAUUAGGGCCUGAUCGCAAGCAAGCAGUCGGCACACGGAAAUCCAAGAGCGUUGGUAGUUGUGACAACACACUACGACCCUGGAAGGAAGUGCUGUGGGGCCUUCGCCUAUUACAGCAAAAUGGGUAGCUAGCAGCCGCCCAGGGGCGGCACUCCCUCACAGAGGUUGCAAGAUCAAAAAGGCCUUUACUUCCAGUGUGGAAAAGAUUAGCUAGUGCACAGCCUGGCAUAUAAGAACUGGUCAGACACUGCCACCUACUGGAGCAGCCUUUGAAAGGAAGGAACCUAGAGCUGUGAUUGUUACAGCUGGUCAGGAGACACGGACGUUUUGGUUCCCAGCCAGUUCUGGUCUGAGAGCAAAAAUGGAGACGCUUGCCAUUCAGCAUCAACAUCUGGACCCAGAGAAGCAGGAGUCAGCGGAAAAAUUGAUUUGGCUGGAGACCCAAAGCACCAAGUCACCCAUCCAGCGAGAGGAAAGCAUUUCGUAUCGUGACCAGGAGGGUAAGCCAAAUUACGACAUAAGUAGUUAGGCCAAUGGCUGCACGCUUUGCGUGUCUUGUCUCUGGCAAUAACCCGCAACGUUGUGUGUGUUGAUGUCAGAAUGAG
rnacentral:lncRNA from 1 species